UAUAUAGAUACAAUUGUAUACCUUACAAAAUACCAAGAUGUAUUUAAACCUAAAAUAAUAUUUCACUUUUUGUGACCUACUUUUCACUUUGUAGGUUAUUCACCGAGCUAAGAACUUUAGAGAACUAACAAGGGAAUUUGAGGCUUAAAUAGCUAAACUGGAAAAAAAAAAUCCCCAACUAUGCUAAACUUUACAACUUGGCUCUUUUGGUCUAACAUUUACAAUUCUUUUGUGAAUAACUCAUUUGUGUUUGUAAGAGUAGCUUAAUCUACAAACACACAUUUCUUAAGCUUUGUUUUUCCUAUGUGGAUAACAAUAAACCUCUUUAUCAGUCUGGUUUAUUUAGUAUAAUUUUAGCCAAGCCGUGCAGAUUGUAUUGAUGUAGAUUGUUAAUGCCAAUCAAAGCAUGAGCAUAAAGUGUCAUGUUUAACAAAAACGCCAGAGAUAACAUAUACAAGGAUUGAUUUAUGGAUUUUAUGAAGUUGCGGGUACAGGGAGGACAGGCAGUAUGCCCAUAUUUAUUAAGUAAUAUUGGCAGUAGAGUACAUAGAUUUUCUCUUAUCGAUCUCUGUUGGCAGUCAAGGUCCACAACGGAGGAGUAAAGGGAUUAUGAAAGAAAAUUAGUUUAAUUCAAACCCAUUACAUUUAUUGUUACAGGAGUUUUAAUAUAUUUUUCAACUUUUUGAAAUAUUCAUCAUUUCUAGUAAAAAUAAAUGAAUAAAUAAAUAAAUCCUUGGAAUUUCAUUGUAAAAAAGAAAAAAUAUGAAACAAUUUGAUCUAUUUAAAGCCAGAUUUUUAGAAACAUAUGGCAAUGGUAACAGCUUCAAACUGCUUCUGCCCCACAGUUAGCCAAUAUCUUAUGAAGGCUGGUGGAUUAGGACUCUUUAAAUUUGAAAGUUAUCAGCCAAUGUUCGGCUCAUUUGGAGAACCACUGUAAAGUGUUAUAUCGGUGGUAUCUGACUCCAUCCAGGCUCCAGAAAAUAUUCCCCAAUUCUACAAACUCUGUGUUGGUGUGGAUGUGGGCAGACAGGUUCAUAUUCGAAUAUAUGGUGGCAUCACUGGCGGAACUACCGCGGUCGCAGGGGGUCGCAGCUGCUUCCGGGCCUGUCACUCCAGGGGGCCCAGCCACCCUGUAGACCCCUGCGACCGGGUGCCUGCCGCCAUGUGUCACGGCCCUAGCCCGUGCUGUGCAAAACUUUACCAAAGUGGAUAAAAUAAUGGUAAGCCAGGUCCUAAUAGCUCCCACUAUGGUAGUACCACGUUAUUGGUAGUCUGACGUAGUUCCUGCUAUUAAAGAUGUAUUAACAUUGGCGUUAGAGAAUAAGUGUUUUUCUCAGAAUGCCAUCAAGCACAACAGAAUCAUUAACUUAUCACUGGAAAAUAUGGGAUGAUAAUAUCAAACAAAAAUACUCUUUAUGUAGACAUUUUUGCUGGAUUGUAGCUUAUGCACCUCUCCUUUUACUCUUGCUCUGUUCGUAUACCCAACGUAUACUAUUUAUGUGUAAUAUUGUAACAUUUAUGUUUUAUUUCUUUUAAGCAAGUAUAUUUGGUUUUCAUUCACUUUGUUGUGAUAGACCAUUUAUUACACUUUGUAUGCAAUUUUAUAUUUUAUUUGUUCCUGGAACACCUAACUUCAGAUCUGGCCAACUUUUUACCAACAUAUCGCUGGUGGGAAUUAUACCACCUAUGCGCAUAUAUUUGAGCGACCUAACGCUCUACCAAAUGUGGGUAUAAUACAUUUUUGCACUGCAUCACAUAUUUAUGUUUACAGUGAGCACUAUUGGAUAUUUUCUUUUUCUUUCAUAUACCUAUCGGUACAAGAUAUUCUCCUUGUAAGUUAUAUCCAUUAGUGGGGAUUAUACUGUGAUGGAUAGAAAUACAUGUAGGUAAAAUGUCUGUUUGUUAUAUGUACCUGUGCUCAUUCCUUACUCAAAAUGGCAGCUAGAGCACCCCCUCCCAUCGACCAAAACCUUGUGUAAAAGAUGGUGUCUCCAUCCGGGACUACAUCCAAGAUGAUGACAUCAACAUCCUGGAGGAAGCACAUGCAAAUUAAGGACUUAACCCAUUAAAAGCUUACAGAGAGAAUAACGUAGAUGCUUACUAAUCAUGUUUGCAUGUGAUGCAUUACUUUGCCCAUAUAAGCGGCUGCCCCCUUCCCCUCAAUACACUUCGAAGUUUUCAUUUAUCUGAACUUGUUGUCAGUGUGAUUUCUUCAGUGUGCACGCUCCUCAUUUUCAAAAUCUGUACAGGAGAAGAUACUCAGGCAGACACUUGCUCUGGUCCAAAACAAUACCGCUGCAAGCAAUCUUACUUAGAGCUAGUUUAAGCUCCAUAACAUGUGAGUGCUUCCUCAUAUACUACUGUUGUGAAUCCUAUUUUUCUGCCAAAACAGUCUGCACUAUUAUUUGUCACUUUGUGUCUCCCUAUAUAUAUUUGCAAGCACCUUAACCAAGAACCAACAUUCCCCAAGAAUCCAGAAACAGCUAGGAUUGUGAUAUCUGGAC
rnacentral:lncRNA from 1 species